GAUGAACGCUAGCGGGAGGCUUAACACAUGCAAGUCGAGGGGCAGCAUAGGGUAGCAAUACUCUGAUGGCGACCGGCAAACGGGUGAGUAACGCGUAUGCAACCUACCCUGUACAGGGGGAUAACCCGGAGAAAUUCGGACUAAUAUCCUGUAAUAAUAUCCGGAGGCAUCUUUGGAUAUUUAAAGUUCCGACGGUACGGGAUGGGCAUGCGUAACAUUAACUGGUUGGUAAGGUAACGGCUUACCAAGGCUAUGAUGUUUAGGGGUCCUGAGAGGGUGGUCCCCCACACUGGUACUGAGACACGGACCAGACUCCUACGGGAGGCAGCAGUGAGGAAUAUUGGUCAAUGGGCGCAAGCCUGAACCAGCCAUCCCGCGUGCAGGAAGACGGCCCUAUGGGUUGUAAACUGCUUUUCCAGGGAGAGAAACUUACGCACGUGUUGCGUGACUGACGGUACCCUGGGAAUAAGCAUCGGCUAACUCCGUG
rnacentral:rRNA from 1 species